AAGGAAGGGGGGGGGGCCUAAUACACUGCAAGUAGAACGUUUUAAAAGAGGAGCCUUGCUCUUACUUGGAUGGAGUUGCGACACGGGUGAGUAACUGCGUUAGGUAACCUGCCUUGUAGCGGGGGAUAACUAUUGGAAACGAUAGCUCAAUACCGCAUAACAAUGGAUGACACAUGUCAUUUAUUUGAAAGGGGCAAUUGCUCCACUACAAGAUGGACCUGCGUUGUAUUAGCUAGUAGGUGAGGUAACGGCUCACCUAGGCGACGAUACAUAGCCCGACCUGAGAGGGUGAUCGGCCACACUGGGACUGAGACACGGCCCAGACUCCUACGGGAGGCAGCAGUAGGGAAUCUUCGGCAAUGGGGGCAACCCUGACCGAACAACUCCUCGUGAGUGAAGAAGGUUUGCGGAUGGGUAAAGCUCUGGUUGUGAGUCAAGAACGAGUGUGAGAGUGGGAAAGUUCACACUGUUGACGGUAGCUUACCAGAAAGGGACCGGCUUAACUACGUGCCAUCAUCCGCGGUAAUACGUAGGGUCCCGAAGCGUUGUCCGGGAUUUAUUGGGGCGUAAAGGCGAGCGCCAGGCGGUUUAGAUAAGGUCUUGAAAGUUAAAGGCUGUGGGCUCAACCCAUAAGUUCCGCUUUGGAAAACUGUCAAACUUGAAGUGGCAGAGAGGGGAAGAGUGGGAAUUCCAUGUGUAAGCGGUGAAAUGCGUAGAGUAUAUGGAGGGACACACCGGGUGGCGAAAGCGGCUCUCUGGUCUGUAACUGACGCUGAGGCUCGAAAGCGUGGGGAGCGAACAGGAUUAGAUACCCUGGUAGUCCACCCCGUAAACGAUGAGUGCUAGGUGUUGGAUCCUUUCCGGGAUUCAGUGCCGCAGCUAACGCAUUAAGCACUCCGCCUGGGGAGUACGACCGCAAGGUUCCAACUCUAAGGAACGGACGCAAGUUAGAAUUGGUCCA
rnacentral:rRNA from 1 species